rnacentral:rRNA from 1 species
AUGGCUACAAGGGAUGAGCAGCGGCAGGAACCCCUACCCCUGCACAUUCUCUUACUCCCGUUUUUCGCCCCCGGGCACCUCAUUCCGGUCGUCGACAUGGCCGCGAUAUUCUCCGUUCGCGGCGCGAGGUGCACCAUCCUCACCAUGCCAGUCAACGCGGACACCAUCCGUUCGGCCGUCGACCGCGCCAACGACUCCAACUGCCACGGCACCGAAUCUCCUUCCCCUGCAGCCGACAUCUCCGUCGUGCCUUUCCCCCGACGUAGGGCUCCCGCCAGGCAUGGAGAACCUCAUGUCCCUUACUCCAGCCCACGGAGCCGACUACAACUUCAAGUUCAUCCAGGCCGCGCAGCUGCUCCGCGAGCCCUUCGACCGGUUCAUGGCUGCCAACCGCCCCGCGCCUCGUGUUCCUCGGCAGCAGCGUGUUCGCGAGGUGCUGCACAACAACCCUAUGGAGACAACGACGGCUUCCCCCGACGACGAUCCUGA